rnacentral:piRNA from 1 species
UGGAUGCUUCGGGUCGACACUGUUGCCU